rnacentral:tRNA from 1 species
GCCUGGGUGGCUCAGUCAGUUAAGCAUCUGACUUUGGGUCAGGUCAUGAUCUCACACUUUGUGAGUUCAAGUCCCACAUCAGGUG